CAAACACGAAACUUGCACCAACAAAACAUAGCCGAAACUCAAAACCAGCCUGGCAAAACCUAUUGGCCGAGACACUGACCAUGAGAAAAACCUGAGUGAUGGGUCAGUGAUAUUUAAUUUGUUGACGGAAGUAACGUAAUGGCAGUGCCGGAUAUUUUGUAACGGAAGUGAACGGAAAUGAAAGAGGGGCAUAUGGUGGAGGACAGAUCAUCUGAAACCGUCGACUCAAGAGUCGAGAGGGGAUAGAGAUCCGCGUUUGCCUGAUAUGUAGUUGCAGACUUCGGGUAGCUUCCAUCUCCAUAGCUGUAGUAGAAAGCAUUUUGUCUUCAGGAAUAUAAUCCAUUGCUUCCUGAGAAAGCAGUCUGUGAUGAAAGAUCCUAAGAUAGAAGGGCUAGAAGCCUAGACUUUGUUUCGGUGGAUGCCCUUCCUCUGUCGACAUUAGAUGGGAAACUCUAUUACAGAACAGCAUCAAAGCAAUCUAAAAAAAUGAAUCUGAUGAUGCACCUAAGGAGGAAGAAACUAGAAUGGAAGAUAAGAAUGAUGAUACGGAUAAAAGCAUAGUGAAGCUUACAAAGCAGAACAGAGGGCUAAGCGAAAGAAGCAAAGGAGUCAGCUAAAAUAGAUGAAGUGCAAGAAAACCCUCAAGCAGAAGUGCUGGUUGAAGAGCUCAUGAUGGAAAUUGCAACCGCUGAAGAAGAAAUAGCUAGAUGAAGGGAAGCUUGUGAAUUGGAAGUGGAAGCUGGGAAAAAAUAUCAUUAAAGAAUAUGACAAAGAUGUAAGAGUCCUGCAGUCUGAUUUAUGUUUGUAAUUAGGUUUUUGCAAUUUUGUUAAUUCUUUUUGUAUUGCUUGCUAUCUCAAUCAAAGCUAUUUUGUUGGUUGA